rnacentral:rRNA from 1 species
GUCCCAGUUCGGACUGUAGUCUGCAACCCGACUACACGAAGCUGGAAUCGCUAGUAAUCGCGGAUCAGAAUGUCGCGGUGAAUACGUUCCCGGGUCUUGUACACACCGCCCGUCACACCAUGGGAGUCGGGAAUGCCCGAAGUCAGUGACCCAACCUAUUGGAGGGAGCUGCCGAAGGCAGGUCUGAUAACUGGGGUGAAGUCGUAACAAGGUAUC